rnacentral:lncRNA from 1 species
AGAGGAACCAGUGGAUUCGAGACAGGAAGUGGAAGGAGCUCAGGAAGGAGUGAGCCGUCUCAGGGUGGGAGGCUCAGGAGCCAGCAGGGUGCAUAUCUCUGUGGCAGAGGAUACCCCGGGCACAGUGGAUGACAGUGGCUGUGGCUGGACUCGGGAUCUAUACAACCUGGCGUUUGGCCGUGGCUUCCAGGACAGGCUGGAUGCAGAGUGAAGUCCUCUCCUGUCAAUGUUUGCAGAUGUCUUCCUGUAUAAACUUCAUAUUUCUUGAGACUUUCAAUUAGGUUUUUACUUAACUAGACUUUUUUAUAUUACUAAAGUUCUAGAGUACAUGUGCAUAACAUGCAGGUUUGUUACAUAUGUAUACUUGUGCCAUGUUGGUGUGCUACACCCAUCAACUCGUCAUU